GACGAACGCUGGCGGCGUGCUUAACACAUGCAAGUGGAGCGACGAACCGGGGCUUGCCCCGGGGCAGAGCCGCGAACGGGUGAGUAACACGUGGGUAACCCACCCCGAUGAUUGGGACAACCCCGGGAAACCGGGCUAAUACCAAAUGUGCCCUUGGUCCAUGAGGACCUCGAGUAAAGAUAGCUUCGGCCUUCGCAUCGGGACGGGCCCGCGGCCCAUUAGCUUGUUGGUGAGGUAACGGCUCACCAAGGCGACGAUGGGUAGCUGGUCUGAGAGGACGAUCAGCCACACUGGGACU
rnacentral:rRNA from 1 species